UUACAAGCGAAGGAGAAUAAAUUUCUGAAUUAACUGAUCACAGCAGAAGAUGUGAAGGCACAACAUGAUGGCCUGCAAGGCAGAAAGCUUCUGGCUUACAGAUGAAUCUGAAGACAUCCCCUUUGGGAAUUGAGCUAAAGCAUAACUAGCCAUUACAGCAAUACAAACCAAGAGGUCACGGGCAGCAGGCACCCUCGGAUAAAAGAAGUACCCCAGUUUUCCUCUUGAGUCUGCUCUCCCAUCCCUGCCUACUGCAACAGGUUCCAAGAGAUUGCCAUGGGGGAAUAUGACCUACAACAGAAAAAAAGAUGUCCCUAUCUGAAAUGAUUGAAUGUAUGCUGAUAUCCCAAGAAGUUUUCUGAGAAAAAGAAGAAAAUAAACCUCUGGAAAAAAAACUCCUGUCCUUGACCAUUAGCCAUUCAUCCUGCCCUGAGUCCUCUGGAAGAGAAACCCACUCCCAGUUGAUCCAGCUUGAAAUAAGUAAAAGGAGAGAAAUUGAAGAGGAAGGGAUUACAAGAGUCAGCAGGCACACAAGGUGAAUGGAAAGGAAUGUGGUCACACCAGAAGUUCCAAGAAUGCUAUACAAGCAGCCCAGUGUAUCCCCUAAUAUGUGCCUGGUGACUGUUUCAUAAUCCCUUUUUCUCUAGUGAAUGUAAAUAUAAACAUCCAUUCAUUUCUUACUAAUUUUCCAGUACUGUGGUAAGCAUUCCAAGGGAAAAGGAAAACACACUUAUGUUGUGUGAUUUUCCACUUAGCAAUUGCUUCACCUAACAAUAGUGUUUCCAUUGCCAACU